UACCACCACAGGCCAUCAACACCAGACCAAUCGGAAGAAUUACGCUUUCCCAAGAAAGUGGCUUAUUACGAAGUAGACGUCCGUCAAGUUUUCGACGUGCUAAACAAAAUUGUGGCGCUUAGUAAGAUCCAGAUGAUCCGAGACAGAUACAUCUCUCCAGACUCCAGCUACGACACACUUACCAAUAUGUUCCGUUUGAAAAUGAAAGAUGAUGCUAAUAUGCAGGCACAUCUGGCGGAGAUGAUGUACUUGUUGACGAGACCCCAUCGGGUAGAAUACGAAUUCGAGCCUAGGGCCAGCUCUGGAUCCGAUUCAAG